rnacentral:rRNA from 1 species
CACGUGGAUAAUCUACCCGACAGUCAGGGAUAACAUUUCGGAAGGAAUGCUAAUACCUGAUAAGCCUACGCCCUCUUCGGAGGAAGUAGGAAAAGGUGGGGACCUUCGGGCCUGCCGUUGUUGGAUGAGUCCGCGGCCCAUUAGCUAGUUGGUAGGGUAAUGGCCUACCAAGGCUACGAUGGGUAGCUGGUCUGAGAGGAUGAUCAGCCACACUGGAACUGAGACACGGUCCAG